UUAACCAAAAAAUCAUAGCUUGCACUUUCUUCACAUUUUUCAUCAGGGUGCAGUUUUUCCUUGUCUUUCAUAUAUGCGUUUACUAUUGUGGAACUGGCAAAGACCUGGUUUCACAAAAGCAGAAAUUA